GAGGCUGCAAAGAGCCAUUAUAGGAGC
rnacentral:piRNA from 1 species